AACGAACGCUGGCGGCAUGCCUAAUACAUGCAAGUCGAACGAGCCCAUCGGGUGCAGUGUCGCACGGGUUUGUAACGCGUGGGAACAUGAACUUAGGUUCGGCAUAACUCUACGAAAGGGGUGAUAUUACGGGACAAUGUCUACGGACCAAAGAUUUAUCGCAUGUGGAUGGACACGCGUUGGAUAAGCUAGUUGUUAGGGUAAAAGCCUACGAAGGCGACGAUCAAUAACUGGUCUGUGAGGAUGAUCAGCCACACUGGGAUUGAGACACGGCCCAGACUCCUACGGGAGGCAGCAGUGGGGAAUAGUGGACAGUGGGCUGAAGCCUGAACCACCAAUGCCGCGUGAGUUAUGAAGGCCGGAGGGUUGUAAAGCUCUUGUACCCAUGAUGAUAAUGACAGUACCGGGAGAAUAAGCUCCGGCUAACUCCGUG
rnacentral:rRNA from 1 species